rnacentral:rRNA from 1 species
CAACGCCGCGUGAGGGAUGAAGGCCUCUGGGCUGUAAACCUCUUUUAUCAAGGAAGAAGAUCUGACGGUACUUGAUGAAUAAGCCACGGCUAAUUCCGUGCCAGCAGCCGCGGUAAUACGGGAGUGGCAAGCGUUAUCCGGAAUUAUUGGGCGUAAAGCGUCCGCAGGCGGUCUUGAAAGUCUGUUGUUAAAGCGUGGAGCUCAACUCCAUUUCAGCAAUGGGAACUAGAAGACUAGAGUGUGGUAGGGGCAGAGGGAAUUCCCGGUGUAGCGGUGAAAUGCGUAGAUAU